rfam:Serratia sp. DD3 SRDD_contig000001, whole genome shotgun sequence.
CUACCAACAUUGUGAGGUGUUGGGAGGGGGCAACAGAAGUCAGCCGAGGCCGUAGUAGUGAUGCAAACCCGGCGUCAUGAAGGGC